UUUUGUGGGGCUCUGCAUAAUGCGCGAGUAAGUGAGCUGUUGCAUACUUCUUUAUGGCACUCGAUGUAGCGUUUACCUCUACUGUU
rnacentral:lncRNA from 1 species